rnacentral:rRNA from 1 species
GCUGUGAAGAUGCAGUGUACCCGCGGCAAGACGGAAAGACCCCGUGAACCUUUACUAUAGCUUGACACUGAACAUUGAGCCUUGAUGUGUAGGAUAGGUGGGAGGCUUUGAAGUGUGGACGCCAGUCUGCAUGGAGCCGACCUUGAAAUACCACCCUUUAAUGUUUGAUGUUCUAACGUUGGCCCGUAAUCCGGGUUGCGGACAGUGUCUGGUGGGUAGUUUGACUGGGGCGGUCUCCUCCUAAAGAGUAACGGAGGAGCACGAAGGUUGGCUAAUCCUGGUCGGACAUCAGGAGGUUAGUGCAAUGGCAUAAGCCAGCUUGACUGCGAGCGUGACGGCGCGAGCAGGUGCGAAAGCAGGUCAUAGUGAUCCGGUGGUUCUGAAUGGAAGGGCCAUCGCUCAACGGAUAAAAGGUACUCCGGGGAUAACAGGCUGAUACCGCCCAAGAGUUCAUAUCGACGGCGGUGUUUGGCACCUCGAUGUCGGCUCAUCACAUCCUGGGGCUGAAGUAGGUCCCAAGGGUAUGGCUGUUCGCCAUUUAAAGUGGUACGCGAGCUGGGUUUAGAACGUCGUGAGACAGUUCGGUCCCUAUCUGCCGUGGGCGCUGGAGAACUGAGGGGGGCUGCUCCUAGUACGAGAGGACCGGAGUGGACGCAUCACUGGUGUUCGGGUUGUCAUGCCAAUGGCACUGCCCGGUAGCUAAAUGCGGAAGAGAUAAGUGCUGAAAGCAUCUAAGCACGAAACUUGCCCCGAGAUGAGUUCUCCCUGAGACUUAGAGUCUCCUGAAGGAACGUUGAAGACGACGACGUUGAUAGGCCGGGUGUGUAAGCGCAGCGAUGCGUUGAGCUAACCGGUACUAAUGAACCGUGAGGCUUAACCUUACAACGCCGAAG